CCUAUAGUCUAUUGUUUAAAUAAGCGCCAGCAUUGCAUUUGUCUUCUUUACCACAGACUCGGCCUCAGAAUUAACCUUCCAGGAGUCCUGCACGAGGUCUCCCAAGUCGCUCUGCACCUCUUAAUGUUCGAACCUUCUCCCCGGAGGCUCCCGCCAAGACCAAAUACGGCCCGCUGAAGGAUGAGGACCGUAUCUUCACCAACCUGUAUGGCAGGCACGACUGGAGGCUGAAGGGAGCGCUACGGCGGGGCGACUGGUACAAGACGAAGGAGAUCCUGCUGAAGGGGGCGGACUGGAUCCUCGGGGAGGUGAAGACAUCCGGGCUGAGGGGUCGCGGAGGGGUCGGGUUUCCAACCG